rnacentral:lncRNA from 1 species
ACUGCCACCCUCUCCCAGGUCUAGAGAGGGGUACCCACGGUGGAGGGAGGUGGGAGGCCGAGACGGCCCCGGGGGUCGGCGGAGACCCAGCGGGAGCAGGGGGAAAUCGGAAGAGCUGGGGGCAUGGAGCGGGCGAGUUUGGAGCGGAAUGAGCCGGGAGCCCUACGUUGUGGAAGGAAGACAACAGUAUAGGACCAUCAGCAGGACCGGACAGAGAGGGGCACCCCUGGCUGUCCUGGAACUUGUAGACCAGGCUGGCCUUGAACUCAGAAAUCCGCCUGCCUCUGACUCCCGAGUGCUGAGAUUAAAGGUGUGCACCACCACACCCGACAAGGAAGCCUGUUUUAAGAAGUGAUUCCAUGGAGGAGUUCUGCGGCGGCUCAGGGCUUGACUAAACAGUGGACCUCAGACAAGAGAGGCUAAACCAGGCUGCAGGUGACAGGAAGAAUUGAAUAAACUGAAAGCAAAGGGCAGCCUUCUAAUUACGCUUCGUGGCUAUGUGGACAACCUGGAGAAGUCUGGAAACCCCCACCCCAUCACAUUCUUACUCCUUCCCUUUCCAAGAAAGAAGCCAGAAGCCCGAAGCCAGCAGUAGAGCUCUGACUGGCUUGUAUGCCUAGAAAGGAAGGGCUCUUCUUUCGCCUCACGGGCACAAAUGGGACCCACGAGCGCCGAUUUCAGACUAUUCUGAUCCCUUCAAAAAGAAAGUUAGGAGUCCAGGCUACUGUGAGUGAAUUUGAUUCUAAUUGUUUCAGAGAAUAUGGAAUAAAAUAUCUCAUUUGCAGUUGUUUA